AUUCCAGAAGUUGCAGGAUUUCUGCAGUCUUCUAGCUUAUCCAGCUGCUUCUUCUGAAGAUUUUUGUCCAUAAAAGAUGAGAAUUACACAACUUAAAUUUUAUUUGUCAUUAUGACUUCUGAUGCUUUUGAGAGGCUGUUUAGAAUUACCAUGGAAGGAAGAGGUGGAUGGAGGGAUAUUUGAGAUUUUAGCUCAGUUUAUGGUACCAUGUUAACCUCCACCAAUGGGGAAGAAAUGCACAAGUACUAGCUAAAGGUGACACAAGGGAAAAAAAAUUACAAAGAGAUAGGCUAGCGAAUGGCCAUUUUUGUUUUUUGUGAAAAAAAAAGUGACAAAUGGAAAGUGAUGUUUGUAAUAGUGAAUUAGAAGCUUUGUACUUGUGACAAAACCAUGCAGUGACAAACCAACCGCUGUUGUACUUGUAUAUUGCAUUAUCCUGCAAAUUUAAUAGCAGCUGCUUGCAUG